rnacentral:misc_RNA from 1 species
ACAUUUAUCCAAGAUGGCUGCUCCAUCUAAAGAGACACAAACUCCUAAAAAAACUUACAGUUUAUGCAACAUGUGCAUUAUUUGUGGGUUCUCGUUUAUCCAGACAAUUAAAGACUCGUUUGGAAAGGAGAUCACUAAGAAAUAUUUCGAUAGAAAGCUUAAGUUAACGGAAGAACGUAAGAAAAUAAUAAGCGAUGCUAUCGGUGUUGAUACAUACGAUGUAGGUAACGACACGGGAGUAUGUCAGAAAUGUUUCCGUAGUGUUGAAAAACUUAGUAAACUUGAAAAGGAAUCGACAGAACUCAAAGAUAAGCUCAAACGAUCAACCCAAGGGGUGAAGGAGAAUUGUUUUCUCUCUCUUCCGUCACCUAAACGAGCAGAUAUGUGUAAAACUAAACGAAUGCUCCGCAGUCCUGGGUUGCAACAACCUACCAAGAAAUUGACCCCUCUGUUGCCCAUAACCUGUAUUCAGCCUAUAUGUAUACAGACAUUUGAAGAUAUCAUCAAAGCCGAACAGCCAAAGGCAGCAGUUUCUGUACGCAGGUCACUGACAACAUCGUUUACUGAAAUCUUACAUGGGGAAGUGGAGGGUCAUUUGUUAAUUAUUGUUUGGUUCAACUGAGCAGUCAUGAAGAGGGCAAGAUAACAAUUUCCUAUCCAAGUGGGAAAAGGACAGCGCUUAUUGUGAAUGAGGCUCACCAGAAAAUAUGUAAAGCUAUUUUCAAAUCAGACAAGGUUGAAAAAACUGUGCUGGAUGUGCUGACUAUCUCAAACCCAGAUGAAGUUGUUGCAGCGGCAGCUAACAUCGUGAAUGUAGAGUCCAAAGAAUUAUGUAAAAGAAAUUCAGGGUCGCUGUUGCAGAAGAAGGACCAUGCCAGCUUGAUGUCUUUUACAUGGGAUAAAUUUCACAAGGAAUUGGAAAUUCGAGCUCCUAAUCUUUUAAAGGUGGUCAGUGCAGUUGUUAGUGAUAUACCAGUAGCACCAGCAGAAAAGAAAUUCAUGCACAUUUUACACACAAUUGCAACUGGGUUCCAUGGUCGUAGUCAGGAAAUGUCUGGGCUACAUUAUUGCACUGCAUUUUUGCUUGUCCAUGGGGGAUGUACUCAGAGGGAUAUCCAAAGACUAGCCAAACUUGGUCUGUGUGUCAGCCCUGGGUCUGUACAUAACAAGUUGGCAUCCUGGAUUGACAAGUUAGACGAGGAGAUUAUUUGUUUGAGAGAAGAAUGGGCCAAAGGAGGGCAAGUGAAGUACCAGUUAGUUGGAGACAACUGGGACAAAAACAUAAUCCCAGCUUUUAGGACAUCACAACAGAAAACAUUAUCACUUCACCUGUUUAAUGUUGUUGUGGUGGUGGAUCGAAUAAUUCCUACUUUUACACGUAUUGGAAAUGAAGGAGACCGGAAAACAGACGUACCAGGAGAUAAAGAGAUAUUCAUACCAUCAAUUGAGGAACAGAGUAUUCUGAUGGAUGAGCUGGUAUUCCUUUUUGCUACUUCAGUUAUCCAAAAUGUUCCUCAGAUGAAAGCAGAAUUUUUGAGCAUCUAUCCAGUACAUCUUCAUCAUCGAUAUACUGCACAAGCAGGAGAAAAAACCAAACAGUAUCCGUUAGGAUUAUUUGACACCAACGAAACAAAAACCGCAGAUAUGAUUCAACUUCUAAGGGACUUGCAAUCAAGAUACGUCCCAUUCCAAAAUGAUGAAAUUGUGGAAUCUGUAUUUUUUGGUGGUGACAGACUAACGGAUGAAAGGGUGCAAUGUGCACAACAGUCAGUUCUUAAUGGAGACACAGCAUCGUCACGAUUAGAAGGAUUCAUCUCAAAAAUUGAAGACUUUCAUCGUCUCAUGAAUUUCUUGGAGGCAAUCUGCAGACUCACCUAUAGCGCAGAGUCAGCAGGGGAUAGAGGAACUGCAGCUUACUUCAGAAAUUUGUUAAAUGCUGUAAAUGUCAAGGGAGAAGUUAGAAAUGCCUAUCGACCAUACAAACUUCUCUAUUAUACAAUUUUAGAUGCCAUGUGUUGUGUUUUAUUUUUCCAAAAAUUCAGUAAAACAUCUGAUGAAGAAAUUCCACUGCCACAUAACUUUCAGAAUUUAUCAUCUGAAGAAAAAAUAGCUUGGUUCAAUGGAAUAUGUUGUGAAAUUUUACAAGAAUACUUUUUUGAAUCCCAAACAGACAUUAUGAAAGAUCUUAGAGAGAUUUUAACAGACAUGGGUCAUCCUGAAAACUAUUAUCUUUCAAAUCUUGAAAAUGGAAGAGUACAAUGCCAUUUUUGUCCAAAAUCAUACACAUAUGUGGGUUCCUUGAAAGUGCAUGAGGAAAAGGUUCAUGGUGCAAAAACACCAGAAACAAAGAGAUCAACAGAAAAGGUUAAAGAUGAAGUAGGAAACUAUUGUCAACUCUUUUUUAAACUUGCACUGCUUCAUAGAAACUUAGAUACAGCCGUUGACAUGGCAGAUGGACACCGUAGUGUGCGGUCUGCAAAAUAUGAACUUCCCAUCUAUGUUAAAACAAACAAAACUAAAUAUGCCAUUGGAUCUAUCCAUCUUAUUUCUUUAACCGAAGGAAUACUGGAUGAGGAAGAAAAGGAAAGGCUAAUUGCAAAUAGGUGUGUAAACCUACAAGGUGGAAAGAAUAAUAACAUGGCGUUAGACGAAUAUGUAGAGUUAUUGAAUAGAGACAGUAAAAUAGUUUGCUCGGGUUAUCAAACUAAGGACAGUAUUCUUAGACACUCAAAAGAGUUUCCACACAUUGUAAACUUUGUGAAACACUAUGAUACUUUCUGUGGUGUAACAACCAAAAAGGGAAUACACAACCUCCCUUCUUAUGAACAGGAUGUUAAAAAAAUUGUUAAAGAAUUAGAAGACUUGAAUGCUUUUUUGCAUGUUGAGGGAAGAAAAUUGAAAUGCAAGACUUUAUGUACAAACAAAAACAUUUUUAAUGAUUGUUUCAAAGGGUUUGCCACACUUGUCCAUAGACACACACCUCUUGUUGCAUUUCAUCUUCUUAGAAACAAAACAAUUUAAAAUGGUAUUGUUUAAGCCAGCUGUUGUGAUACUAAUUAUGCAUAAUAUUGAUAUGAUGUUUAUAACAUUUUUGUCGAUUUUUUUUUUUAUAUGUCAGGUUUAUCCCAUGUGGUUUCAUCAAUAUUGUUGAGCACAAAUUUAAGUGCAUUUUGUUAUUGACAAAGUAAUAUAUGUCAUAACAGAUGUUAUCAUUAAAACUAUUACCAAAAUC